UACGUAGGGGGCAAGCGUUGUCCGGAUUUAUUGGGCGUAAAGAGCGUGUAGGCGUCCAGAUAGGUCAGCUGUGAAAACUCGAGGCUCAACCUCGAGAUGUCGGCUGAAACCAUCUGGCUAGAGUCCGGAAGAGGAGAAUGGAAUUCCCGGUGUAGCGGUGAAAUGCGCAGAUAUCGGGAAGAACACCCGUGGCGAAGGCGGUUCUCUGGGACGGUACUGACGCUGAGACGCGAAAGCGUGGGGAGCGAACAGG
rnacentral:rRNA from 1 species